rnacentral:tRNA from 1 species
GGGGCUGUAGCUCAGCUGGGAGAGCGCUUCCUCGGCAAGGAAGAGGUCGGCGGUUCAGGGCUCGCGCCGACGCUCGCCCGCUCCA